rnacentral:rRNA from 1 species
UACGUAGGCAGCGAGCGUUGUUCGGAAUUACUGGGCGUAAAGAGUGUGUAGGCGGUGCUCCAAGUCUGGUGUGAAAUCUCCCGGCUUAACUGGGAGGGUGCAUUAGAAACUGGAAUGCUAGAGGAUGGGAGAGGUAAGCGGAAUUCCUGGUGUAGCAGUGAAAUGCGUAGAUAUUACCAGGAACACCAAUGGCGAAGGCAGCUUGCUGGGCCACUCCUGACACUGAGGUACGAAAGCGUGGGGAGCGAACAGG